rnacentral:rRNA from 1 species
UACAGAGGUCUCAAGCGUUGUUCGGAAUUACUGGGCGUAAAGGGUGCGCAGGCCGCGCGGGCAGUCAAAUGUGUAAUUCAGGGGCUCAACCCCUGCACUGCGCUUGAUACUUCCGCGCUCGAGCUUUGGAGAGGAGUCUGGAAUUCUCGGUGUAGCAGUGAAAUGCGUGGAUAUCGAGAAGAACACUUAGGGCGUAGGCAAGACUCUGGACAAAUGCUGACGCUCAUGCACGAAGGCUAG